GGCUUCAUAUUCGAACGCUGGGCGCAAUUGCUUUACACAUGCAAGUCGAACGGCAGCACGGGGGCAACCCUGGUGGCGAGUGGCGAACGGGUGAGUAAUACAUCGGAACGUGCCCAGUCGUGGGGGAUAACUACGCGAAAGCGUAGCUAAUACCGCAUACGAACUGAGGUUGAAAGCGGGGGACCGAAAGGCCUCGCGCGAUUGGAGCGGCCGAUGGCAGAUUAGGUAGUUGGUGGGGUAAAGGCUCACCAAGCCGACAAUCUGUAGCUGGUCUGAGAGGACGACCAGCCACACUGGGACUGAGACACGGCCCAGACUCCUACGGGAGGCAGCAGUGGGGAAUUUUGGACUAUGGGCGCAAGCUUGAUCUAGCCNUUCCGCGUGCAGGAUGAUUGCCCUCGGGUUGUAAACUGCUUUUUUUACGCAAUGAAAC
rnacentral:rRNA from 1 species